AACGAACGCUGGCGGCAUGCCUAACACAUGCAAGUCGAACGAGACCUUCGGGUCUAGUGGCGCACGGGUGCGUAACGCGUGGGAACCUGCCCUUAGGUUCGGAAUAACUCCCCGAAAGGGGUGCUAAUACCGGAUAAUGUCUUCGGACCAAAGAUUUAUCGCCUUUGGAUGGGCCCGCGUUGGAUUAGCUAGUUGGUAGGGUAAAAGCCUACCAAGGCGACGAUCCAUAGCUGGUCUGAGAGGAUGAUCAGCCACACUGGGCCUGAGACACGGCCCAGACUCCUACGGGAGGCAGCAGUGUGGAAUAUUGGACAAUGGGCGAAUGCCUGAACCAGCAGUGCCGCGUGAGUGAUGAAGGCCUGAGGGUUGUAAAGCUCUUUUACCCGGGAUGAUAAUGACAGUACCGGGAGAAUAAGCACCGGCUAACUCCGUG
rnacentral:rRNA from 1 species